rnacentral:pre_miRNA from 7 species
UAUUAGGAUGGCUACUCUGAAAGACCCCCGAAGGGAGACCCUCACUCAAGCCUUGGGACAGCCGCGAACCCAAGAAGACACUGAGACCG